ACUCCUACGGGAGGCAGCAGUGGGAAUUUUGGACAAUGGGCGCAAGCCUGAUCCAGCCAUGCCGCGUGCGGGAAGAAGGCCUUCGGGUUGUAAACCGCUUUUGUCGGGGAAGAAAUACGCCGAGCGAAUAACUUGGCGGGAUGACGGUACCCGAAGAAUAAGCACCGGCUAACUACGUGCCAGCAGCCGCGGUAAUACGUAGGGUGCAAGCGUUAAUCGGAAUUACUGGGCGUAAAGCGUGCGCAGGCGGUUGUGCAAGACAGAUGUGAAAUCCCCGGGCUCACCUGGGAACUGCAUUUGUGACUGCACGGCUGGAGUGCGGCAGAGGGGAUGGAAUUCCGGCGUGUAGCAGUGAAAUGCGUAGAUAUGCGGAGGAACACCGAUGGCGAAGGCAAUCCCCUGGGCCUGCACUGACGCUCAUGCACGAAAGCGUGGGGAGCAAACAGGAUUAGAUACCCUGGUAGGCUCUGCU
rnacentral:rRNA from 1 species